rnacentral:lncRNA from 1 species
UCUGACUGGUGUGAGGUGGUACCUCAUAGUAGUUUUGAUAUGCAUUUCUUUGAUGUUGAACAGUUUUUUUUUCAUGUGCUUGUUGGCCACCUGUAUAUCUGCCUUGGAGAAAUGUCUAUUCAGGUCUUUUGCGCAUUUUUCAGUUUGGUUGUUGGCUUUUUUACUGUUGAGUUGUAUAACAUGUUUGUAUAUUUUAGAGAUUAAGCCUUUGUCAGUUGCAUCAUUUGAAACUAUUUUCUCCCAUUCUGUGAGUUGUCUUUUUGUUUCCUUUUUGGUUUCCUUUGCUGUGCAAAAGCUUGUCAGUUUGAUUAGGUCCCACUGGUUUAUUUUUGCUUUUAUUUCUGUUGCUUUGGGAGACUGACCUGAGAAAACAUUUGUAAGGUUGAUGUCAGAGAAUGUUUUGCCUAUGUUCUCUUCCAGGAGUUUGAUGGUAUCUUGUCUUAUAUUUAACUCUUUCAGCCAUUUGGAGUUAAUUUUUGUGCAUGGUGUGAGAGUGUGUUCUAGUUUCAUUGAUUUGCAUGCAGCUGUCCCGUUUUCCCAGCAAUACUUGCUGAAAAGACGGUCUUUCCCCUAUUUUGUGUUCUUGCCUCCUUUGUUGAAAAUUAAUUGACCCUAGGCGUCUGGGUUUAUUUCUGGACUUUCUAUUCUAUUCCAUUAUAUGUAUGUCUGUUUUGGUACUAGUACCACACUGCCUUGAUGACUGUGGCUCUGUAAUAGUACCUGAAGCCUGGGAGAGUCAUGCCUCCUGCUUGGUUUUCGUUCCUCAGAAUUGCUUUGGCAUUUCUGGGUCUUUUGUGGUUCCGUAUAAAAUUUUGGAUGGUUUGUUCUAGCUCUGGGAAAAAAGUCAUGGAUAAUUUGAUAGGGAUUGCACUGAAUCUGUAGAUUGCUUUGGGUAGCAUGGCCAUUUUCACAAUAUUAAUUUUUCCAACCCACGAGCAUGGACUGUCUUUCCAUUUCUUUGUAUCUUCUUUUAUUUCCUUGAUGAAUGUUUUAUAGUUCUCACCUCCCGUGUAAUAAGUCUUUCACCUCCCUGUUCAGGUGUAUUUCCAGGUAUUUGCUUUUUGGGGGUGCAAUUUUAAAAGUUAUUGUAUUUUUAUACUCCUUUUCUAAUAUUUCAUUGUUCGUAUACAGAAAUGUGAUUGAUUUCCGAAUGUUAAUCUUAUACCCUGCUACUUUGCUGCAUUUGCUGAUCAGGUUGAGUAGCUUUUGGAUUGAGUCCUUAGAGUUUUCUAUAUAUGGUAUCCUGUCAUCUGCAUACAGUGACAGUUUUACGUCUUGUCUUCUCUUCCUGUUUGGAUGCCUUUUAUUUCUUUUGUCUGCCUGAUUGCUGUGGCUAGGACUUCCAAUACUAUGUUGAAUAAGAUUGGUGAGAGUGGGGAUCCUUGUCUUGUUGCAGAUUUUAGUGGGAAGGCUUUCAGCUUUUGUCCGUUGAGUAUUAUAUUUGCUGUGGGUUUGUCGUAAAUGGCUUUGAUUAUGUUAAGGGAUGUUCCCUCUAUACCCACUUUGGUAAGAGUUUUUAUUUCAUCAUGAGUGGAUGUUGGACUUUGUCACAUGCUUUUUUUGCAUCUGUUGAGAUGAUCAUGUGGUUUUUGACUUUUCUUUUGUCAAUGUGGUGUACGACACUGAUUGAUUUGUGAUCGUUGACCCAUCCUUGUGAGCGUGGGAUGAAUCCCCCUUGGUCGUGGUGUAUGAUCUUUUUGAUAUAUGCAGGGUGUUGUUGGUUUUGGUUGGCUACAAUUUUGUUGAGAAUCUUUGCGUCUGUAUUCAUCAGAGAUAUUGGCGUAUAGUUUUCUUUUUUGGUGUUAUCUUUGUCUGGUUUUAGAAUUAGGGUGAUGGUGGUGUCAUAGAAUGUCUUUGGGAGGGGUCCUUCUUCUUCAACCUUUUGGAGAAGUUUAAGGAGGAUGGGUACAAGUUCCUCUUUAUGUGUUUGUUAGACUUCACUUGUGAAGCCAUCUUGUCCCAGACUUUUAUUUAUAGGGAGUGUUUUUAUUAUACAUUCAGUUUCCUUUCUAGUGAUCAGUCUGUUCAUUGAUCUAUUUCUCCCUGAUUCAGCUUUGGCAGUCUGUAAGUCUCUAGAAAGUUGUCCAUUUCUUCUAGGUUAUCAAAUUUGUUGGCAUAUGAUUGUUCAUAGUAUUCUCUUAUUAUUUUUUUUUGUGUGUGUGUAUGUUUCUGCAGUAUCCGUUACUUACAGUUACUAGAUUGGUCAGGUGGUGGAGGGAUAGAUUGGCGAUAUUGGAUUGGCAUGUAUACUCUGUGGUAUAUGAAAUUAUUGCCCAACAGGGAACUUUGGUAUUGCACAGGGAACACUAUCCAAUAUUCUGUGAUGAUCUGUAUGGGAAAAGAAUCUGAAAAUCAUGUAUGUGUGUAUAAGCAUAACUGAAUCACUUUGCUGUAUAACAGAAAUUAUCACAACAUUGUAAAUUAACUAUACUUCAAUAAAAUAUAAAAAAAUUUUCUGAGAUAAUUAAUUCCCUUUGUCUGGUAUUUGAUGGUCACCAUGCUAUUUUUCCAACAUUACUUCCCCAAGAGUCCUGUUUCUUGAACUUCAGUCAUAUUUACUACAUCACAUUUUCUUUUUUGCUCAUGCUGUUCCCUAAACCUGAAAUAUUUCCCUUUACUUUUCCACCUACACAAGCCCAUGUUUCAAGCUUCAAUGAUGAUGUAUAUGAAGUAUUUCUGACUAUAAUCAAUGUUUAAGAACAAGGGCAUUGGAAUUGAUUUUCUAAGUUCAAAUUCUUAAUUUUUCAUUUACUGGAUUUGUGAUUUGGGGAAAGUUACCCUCUCUGGGUUUGAGUUUCUUUGUGCAUAAAAUGGGGAUAUUAGUAGCAUCUACUUCAUAGAUUUGAUGAUUAAAUGUGAUAAUACAUAUGGGGCAUUCCAAAUGCCUAGCCAAGAAAUCAUUCAGUGCAAAUUAACAGGUCUAAUUUAGAGUAAUAUUUGUUUUCUUUGUGUACCCAUUAUAAAUUUCCUCAAUUUACAUCAUAGGAUUUACUAUAUUCUAUCCUAUGUUAGUGUAAUAUUAUGCCAUAGGUCUCUUUUGGUUGAGGUUAUGUUUAAUUUAUCUCUUGUCUUCUCCCAGCUGUUAAUAUAUUUCAUUCCACAUAGGUGAUACUUAAUGAACCAUUUUUAGAUAAGGAAAUAGUAAAUAAAAAUUAGAGAUGACACUAUAGAUAACAUGUCGAUUUGAACUAAAUUGCUAUGACUUACUUGGCAUCAAAACCUUAGCAAAAGGAAGCAAAGGAGCAUUAGAGAAAAUUUCAAUCCUUCCUCCUUUUAAUGUCACUUAGACAACUUUGCCUGGACAUACAUCAGUUCUGUGUAUUUGUAUCAAAUUAAAAACUCAGCCGUAUGAACUGCAUCUUGAGUUAACACUCUUGACUGUCUAUUAAAUAUACCUGAGUGCAGACAUACAGUUUUCCCAUUAGGUAUGCUAAACAUUGCUGUUAAACUUUUCCCUACAUUAAAAACAGACUCAUCAAGACUUCUGCUCCUGGUAUAAAGGAAUAUCAGGGAUAAUAUUUGCCUUUCUACCUUAAAUAACUAAAAAAAAAAAAAA